rnacentral:tRNA from 1 species
AUCUGGUUGACUCAGUCGGUAGAGCACGGGACUCUUGAUCUUGGGGUUGUGAGUUUAAGCCCCACAUUGGGUA